AUUAUGCAGUCUUGCAUCUUUAGAAUAGAAAGUAUGAGACAGAGGAAUGAGAAAUGUCAUUGUUGUCAAACCACUGGCAUCUUACAACUUCCGUAACUCUGUAUUUUCAGCUUUAUUUCAAGUCGAACGACGUUUACAAUGAGCAGUGGCAAAAUGCCUGGAUCAUCCGGCCUUUUGGCAACUCUUAUCGUUCUCUAUGCUAUGCGUCAUCUGAGUUCUUUGGAAGGCCUCUAGAAAUUCGACUCGGCAUGCUUACUCCGAUGAUGGUAAUGAAGAUUUUGACAAAGACCAAACUAAUCUGACACUCAUAAAACCAUCGCCAACGCCUACAAAAGAAUCGAGAAGCGCUACAGAGGCUAGACCAUUGCAGGGCAGUAAUGGAGCAUCAAAUGGGGAUCUAGAAGAAGACAAGACAGAGUGACAAGAAA